GACGAACGCUGGCGGCGUGCUUAACACAUGCAAGUCGAACGGAAAGGCCCUGCUUUUGUGGGGUGCUCGAGUGGCGAACGGGUGUGUAACACGUGAGUAACCUGCCCUUGACUUUGGGAUAACUUCAGGAAACUGGGGCUAAUACCGGAUAGGAGCUCCUGCUGCAUGGUGGGGGUUGGAAAGUUUCGGCGGUUGGGGAUGGACUCGCGGCUUAUCAGCUUGUUGGUGGGGUAGUGGCUUACCAAGGCUUUGACGGGUAGCCGGCCUGAGAGGGUGACCGGCCACAUGGGGACUGAGAUACGGCCCAGACUCCUACGGGAGGCAGCAGUGGGGAAUAUUGCACAAUGGGCGGAAGCGUGAUGCAGCAACGCCGCGUGCGGGAUGACGGCCUUCGGGUUGUAAACCGCUUUCGCCUGUGACGAAGCGUGAGUGACGGUAAUGGGUAAAGAAGCACCGGCUAACUACGU
rnacentral:rRNA from 1 species